AAGGCAACAAAUUAGAGUCUCUGAUUCACUUAUUCAAUAGUGGAUAAAGCGCUGUACGUUGCCAAUAAUUACUUGGUCCAAAGAUCUCCCAAUCGGCUUUCAGUCUUAUUUUAGCCGAUAUGAUCGAUGUUCCUAAAUUA